UACGAAGGGGGCUAGCGUUGUUCGGAUUUACUGGGCGUAAAGCGCACGUAGGCGGAUUGCUAAGUCAGGGGUGAAAUCCUGGAGCUCAACUCCAGAACUGCCUUUGAUACUGGUGAUCUUGAGUCCGGGAGAGGUGAGUGGAACUGCGAGUGUAGAGGUGAAAUUCGUAGAUAUUCGCAAGAACACCAGUGGCGAAGGCGGCUCACUGGCCCGGUACUGACGCUGAGGUGCGAAAGCGUGGGGAGCAAACAGG
rnacentral:rRNA from 1 species